AGUGAACGCUGGCGGUAGGCCUAACACAUGCAAGUCGAACGGCAGCACAGUAAGAGCUUGCUCUUACGGGUGGCGAGUGGCGGACGGGUGAGGAAUACAUCGGAAUCUACUUUUUCGUGGGGGAUAACGUAGGGAAACUUACGCUAAUACCGCAUACGACCUACGGGUGAAAGCAGGGGAUCUUCGGACCUUGCGCGAUUGAAUGAGCCGAUGUCGGAUUAGCUAGUGGGCGGGGUAAAGGCCCACCAAGGCGACGAUCCGUAGCUGGUCUGAGAGGAUGAUCGGCCAAACUGGAACGGAGACAGGGUCCAGACUCCUACGGGAGGCAGCGGUGGGGAAUAUUGGACAAUGGGGGCAGGCCUGAUCCAGCCAUACCGGGUGGGUGAAGAAGGCCUUCGGGUUGUAAAGCCCUUUUGUUGGGAAAGAAAAGCAGCAGGUUAAUACCCCGCUGUUCUGACGGUACCCAAAGAAUAAGCACCGGCUAACUUCGU
rnacentral:rRNA from 1 species